UUAGGGAGAUGGGGAUUGAACCCACAAUAAAGAAG
rnacentral:tRNA from 1 species